rnacentral:tRNA from 1 species
GCCUUGGUGGCGAAAUUGGUAGACGCAAGGGACUUAAAAUCCCUCGUUCGUGAGGACGUGCCGGUUCGACUCCGGCCCAAGGCACCA